rnacentral:rRNA from 1 species
UUUGAUUCUGGCUCAGAUUGAACGCUGGCGGGAUGUACUUUACACAUGCAAGUCGAACGGCAGCACGGGCUUCGGUCUGGUGGCGAGUGGCGAACGGGUGAGUAAUGUAUCCGGAACGUGCCUAGUAGCGGGGGAUAACUACGCGAAAGCGUAGCUAAUACCGCAUACGCCCUUCGGGGAAAGCGGGGGACCUUCGGGCCUCGCACUAUUAGAGCGGCCGAUAUCGGAUUAGCUGGUUAACAGGGUAACGGCCCACCAAGGCGACGAUCCGUAGCUGGUUUGAGAGGACGACCAGCCACACUGGGACUGAGACACGGCCCAGACUCCUGCGGGGCAGCAGUGGGAAUUUUGGACAAUGGAAACCCUGAUCCAGCCAUCCCGCGUGUGCGAUGAAGGCCUUCGGGUCGUAAAGCACUUUUGGCAGGAAAGAAACGGCACGGGAUAUUACCCGUGCAACUGACAGUACCUGCAGAAUAAGCACCGGCUAACUACGUGCCAGCAGCCGCGGUAAUACGUAGGGUGCAAGCGUUAAUCGAAUUACUGGGCGUAAAGCGUGCGCAGGCGGUUCGGAAGAAAAGAUGUGAAAUCCCAGAGCUUAACUUUUGGAACUGCAUUUUUAACUACCGAGCUAGAGAAGUGUGUCGGGGAAAUUGGAAUUCCGCGUGUAGCAGUGAAAUGCGUAGAUAUGCGGAGAACACCGAUGGCGAAGGCAGCCUCCUGGGAUAACGCGCUCAUGCACGAAAGCGUGGGAGCAAACAGGAUUAGAUACCCUGGUAGUCCACGCCCUAAACGAUGUCAACUAGCUGUUGGGGCCUUCGGGCCUUGGUAGCGCAACUAACGCGUGAAGUUGACCGCCUGGGAAGUACGGUCGCAAGAUUAAAACUCAAAGGAAUUGGCGGGGACCCGCACAAGCGGUGGAUGAUGUGGAUUAAUUCGAUGCAACGCGAAAAACCUUACCUACCCUUGACAUGUCUGGAAUCCCGAAGAGAUUUGGGAGUGCUCGCAAGAGAACCGGAACACAGGUGCUGCAUGGCUGUCGUCAGUUCGUGUCGUGAGAUGUUGGGUUAAGUCCCGCAACGAGCGCAACCCUUGUCAUUAGUUGCUACGAGGCACUCUAAUGAGACUGCCGGUGACAAAACCGGAGGAAGGUGGGGAUGACGUCAAGUCCUCAUGGCCCUUAUGGGUAGGGCUUCACACGUCAUACAAUGGUCGGGACAGAGAUUAGCCAACCCGCGAGGGGUAAUCCCAGAAACCCGAUCGUAGUCCGGAUCGCAGUCUGCAACUCGACUGCGUGAAGUCGGAAUCGCUAGUAGUCGCGGAUCAGCAUGUCGCGGUGAAUACGUUCCCGGGUCUUGUACACACCGCCCGUCACACCAUGGGAGUGGGUUUUACCCGAAGUAGUUAGCCUAACCGUAAGGAGGGCGAUUACCACGGUAGGAUUCAUGACUGGGGCUGAAGUCGUAACAAAGGACGCCCUGUUA